AACAUUUGCAGAAUGGCAUUACAAAAAUAACAUUCUGGAACUAAAGUUGAUAGGACCAGCGGCUGGAAGGUUUACAGCCGCCGAGGAAGUGGGAAGGCAGUUAGUGGAAGUGAGAAGAUCAAGGAAGCAGAUCAUAAGGGACAGUCAGCUGGAAGUGAGAAAAUCAUGGCUGCGAAGGAGUAAAGGAAGCAAAUCAUGGGAUUCCUAAAUCAAGGCUGCAAAGGAGUAAAUGGAGCAAAUCAUGGGAUUCCUAAUUUUUUGCAUUCUAGUAUUUAUUUUACAGUAUAAAUAAAUGUAAGCUAGGGAGUCCAAGAUAUCUUGGAGAGAUCAUUUGUAUUGGACGACUUGGUCGUAGGCCUCUGCGGAGGAUUGAUAUUUCUUUACAUUCCAUUCAAUCAAGUGAUCGUUCCUCUCUAUUCUGCAUUUACAAAUUAUUAAGUGUGAUUGGAGAGCAUAUCCCGUGCUCUCUGCCUCUCUUCCGCCCUUCACUCCUAACAAUUGGUGCGGUGAACGUGGAUCCGGAUGUCCUACGGAAAGGGGCUACCCGUAGGUGUGACCAAGGGGUGCCACCGAAAAAAACGUGGGCCCGAAAGGAAAAAGGGCCGUAAAGCGGAUGGUGGGCCCGUGGCGUGUGCCGUCCGUGGACGUCCGGUUUAAAAGAGGGAUGGAUUGAUACGAUCCCACAUCGGUUUCACACGAAAGUGUGGAAUAGCAUAUAAUAGGGAGUCAACCCUUUACCUUUGACCAUGGUUUUGGGUUAAGUUAGGGCUUCCUAUCUUAUAUGCUUAUCAAUUUGAAGUUGAUAGGACCAGCGGCUGGAAGGUUUACAGCCGCCGAGGAAGUGGGAAGGCAGUUAGUGGAAGUGAGAAGAUCAAGGAAGCAGAUCAUAAGGGACAGUCAGCUGGAAGUGAGAAAAUCAUGGCUGCGAAGGAGUAA